UACGGAGGAUCCGAGCGUUAUCCGGAUUUAUUGGGUUUAAAGGGAGCGUAGGCGGGUUGUUAAGUCAGUUGUGAAAGUUUGCGGCUCAGCCGUAAAAUUGCAGUUGAUACUGGCAUCCUUGAGUACAGUAGAGGUAGGCGGAAUUCGUGGUGUAGCGGUGAAGUGCUUAGAUAUCACGAAGAACUCCGAUUGCGAAGGCAGCCUGCUGGACUGUAACUGACGCUGAUGCUCGAAAGUGUGGGUAUCAAACAGG
rnacentral:rRNA from 1 species